rnacentral:tRNA from 1 species
GCGGGGGUUGCCAAGUCUGGUCAAAGGCGCAGGACUCAGAAUGCGAAACUUAAGAAGAUCAGCUUGGGAUAUCCUGUCCGUUAGUCGGUUCGUGAGUUCAAAUCUCACCCCCCGCA